rnacentral:rRNA from 1 species
GCCUCCCCCUUUCUUCGUGCUUAACACAUGCAAGUCGAACGGAAAGGCCCUGCUUUUGUGGGGUGCUCGAGUGGCGAACGGGUGAGUAACACGUGAGUAACCUGCCCUUGACUUUGGGAUAACUUCAGGAAACUGGGGCUAAUACCGGAUAGGAGCUCCUGCUGCAUGGUGGGGGUUGGAAACUUUCGGCGGUUGGGGAUGGACUCGCGGCUUAUCAGCUUGUUGGUGGGGUAGUGGCUUACCAAGGCUUUGACGGGUAGCCGGCCUGAGAGGGUGACCGGCCACAUUGGGACUGAGAUACGGCCCAGACUCCUACGGGAGGCAGCAGUGGGGAAUAUUGCACAAUGGGCGGAAGCCUGAUGCAGCAACGCCGCGUGCGGGAUGACGGCCUUCGGGUUGUAAACCGCUUUCGCCUGUGACGAAGCGUGAGUGACGGUAAUGGGUAAAGAAGCACCGGCUAACUACGUG